AGUCGAGGGGUAUAGGAAGCUUGCUUCCUAGAGACCGGCGCACGGGUGCGUAACGCGUAUGCAAUCUACCUUGUACAGGGGGAUAGCCCAGAGAAAUUUGGAUUAAUACCCCAUAGUAUUAUUGAGUGGCAUCACUUAAUUAUUAAAGUUCCAACGGUACAAGAUGAGCAUGCGUCCUAUUAGCUAGUUGGUGUGGUAACGGCACACCAAGGCUACGAUAGGUAGGGGUCCUGAGAGGGAGAUCCCCCACACUGGUACUGAGACACGGACCAGACUCCUACGGGAGGCAGCAGUGAGGAAUAUUGGACAAUGGGCGCAAGCCUGAUCCAGCCAUGCCGCGUGCAGGAAGAAGCAUCUAUGGUGUGUAAACUGCUUUUGUACGGGAAGAAACACUCCUACGUGUAGGAGCUUGACGGUACCGUAAGAAUAAGGAUCGGCUAACUCCGUGCCAGCAGCCGCGGUAAUACGGAGGAUCCAAGCGUUAUCCGGAAUCAUCGGGUUUAAAGGGUCCGUAGGCGGUCUAAUAAGUCAGUGGUGAAAGCCCAUCGCUCAACGAUGGAACGGCCAUUGAUACUGUUAGACUUGAAUUAUUGGGAAGUAACUAGAAUAUGUAGUGUAGCGGUGAAAUGCU
rnacentral:rRNA from 1 species